rnacentral:rRNA from 1 species
AGAGUUUGAUUCUGGCUCAGGAUGAACGCUGGCGGCGUGCCUAACACAUGCAAGUCGAGCGGACCAAUGCUCAUUUCAGCUUUGCUGAUUUGAGCAACGGUUAGCGGCGGACGGGUGAGUAACGCGUGGGCAACCUGCCCUGUGCAGGGGGAUAACACAGCGAAAGCUGUGCUAAUACCCCAUAAGACUACGCUAUCGCAUGAUAGAGUAGUCAAAGCUUUAGCGGCACAGGAUGGGCCCGCGUCUGAUUAGCUAGUUGGUGGGGUAACGGCCUACCAAGGCGACGAUCAGUAGCCGACCUGAGAGGGUGAUCGGCCACACUGGAACUGAGACACGGUCCAGACUCCUACGGGAGGCAGCAGUGGGGAAUAUUGCACAAUGGGGGAAACCCUGAUGCAGCAACGCCGCGUGAGCGAAAAGGCCUUCGGGUCGUAAAGCUCUGUCCUAAGGGAAGAAGUAUGACGGUACCUUAGGAGGAAGCCCCGGCUAACUACGUGCCAGCAGCCGCGGUAACACGUAGGGGGCGAGCGUUAUCCGGAAUCACUGGGCGUAAAGGGUGCGUAGGCGGCCGAGUAAGCCAGAGGUGAAAGGCUACGGCUUAACCGUAGUAAGCCUUUGGAACUACUUGGCUUGAGUGCAGGAGAGGAGAGUGGAAUUCCUAGUGUAGCGGUGAAAUGCGUAGAUAUUAGGAGGAACACCAGUGGCGAAGGCGACUCUCUGGACUGUAACUGACGCUGAGGCACGAAAGCGUGGGGAGCAAACAGGAUUAGA